CUCCCUUCCUGCAGCCCAAAGAUGUCAAAUUAAAUGGUGAGUACAGUAUGAAAGUGUUGUUUCUAGAAUAGAAUAGAAUGCUUUUUAUUGCCACUAUACACAUGUUCAAUGAGAUUAAAAGCAGCUCCUUCAUUGCAAAAAAAAAGUUCUGUAUAGGGCUUGUAUGGUUGUAUCUUUAGCCUUAGCAUAACGCCGGAUCUGUGGCCCCGCAUCUGCUUCCUUUCCCUCCUCCGUCUGCGUCGUCUCCUAGACCCGACAACAAUCCACGGAGAGCCCGCUGGUCUCGCUAUGUUGUCUGGGAUGUUGUGCGUGUGAUGAAAAACACUCGAAACAGAUGUCUGGCUCUGGACACCAAUGUCUGUAAGGUUCUGACGGGUGUAGCGGAUGUUCGCCGAACCGAUCGUGCACAAACAAGCAAAAAAAAAAAAAAAGGACAAAAUCAACAAAAAAGUGCACUGAAAAGGAAAGCCCUGAGCCGCUGCGACCAUGCGCACCACCAUGCUUCUAGCUUAAUCUAGCCUACUUCUGGUAGGCUAGGCAGUUUUUAUAGCUUUUUGGUUAGUACAUUAGAAAAAUUAUUGGUGUUUUGGUAAAUUAUGCACAUUAUACAACCCUUUUUAAGUAAGUGUUGCAGUAGGAGGUUCGGAACGCAUUAUGGGUUAGCCUUCGCGAACAAAUUAAGUUCUUAAGUCAAGGGUCCACUGUAUUGCGUAUUUCAGUUAAUCAAAUUUAUAACGAGUCUCCGGAAAUCCACCCGCCGAUGUACCGUAUAUAGUUUCAACACAAAGGUUUCAUUUUAACAAACUUCUCCGCUCAAUCACUUCCUGGUUUCCAUCAAAAAUGCCGGCAGUCUCAAAUUCUCGCUGAUAAACAUGAUAAAUAUACCUGAAGAGACACUUUUAAGGAAGUUUAGAAAAUUUUGCUUGGAGAAGGGGGUCGGCUUAAAUACCGGUCAUCGGCAAAUACAUGUAAUUUAGUAGGUAGAGAAGGGGGUCGGCUAAUAUACCGAGUCGGCUUAUAUUCCGGGAUCUACGGUAUAUA